rnacentral:rRNA from 1 species
UGCGGAGGGAUCAUUACACAAUAUGAAAGCGGGUUGGGACCUCACCUCGGUGAGGGCUCCAGCUUGUCUGAAUUAUUCACCCAUGUCUUUUGCGCACUUCUUGUUUCCUGGGCGGGUUCGCCCGCCACCAGGACCAAACCAUAAACCUUUUUGUAAUUGCAAUCAGCGUCAGUAAACAAUGUAAUUAUUACAACUUUCAACAACGGAUCUCUUGGUUCUGGCAUCGAUGAAGAACGCAGCGAAAUGCGAUACGUAGUGUGAAUUGCAGAAUUCAGUGAAUCAUCGAAUCUUUGAACGCACAUUGCGCCCUUUGGUAUUCCAAAGGGCAUGCCUGUUCGAGCGUCAUUUGUACCCUCAAGCUUUGCUUGGUGUUGGGCGUCUUUGUCUCUCACGAGACUCGCCUUAAAAUGAUUGGCAGCCGACCUACUGGUUUCGGAGCGCAGCACAAUUCUUGCACUUUGAAUCAGCCUUGGUUGAGCAUCCAUCAAGACCACAUUUUUUUCAACUUUUGACCUCGGAUCAGGUAGGGAUACCCGCUGAACUUAAGCAUAUCA